CCUACGGGUGGCUGCAGUGAGGAAUAUUGGUCAAUGGGCGGGAGCCUGAACCAGCCAAGUCGCGUGAGGGAAGAAUGUCCUGUGUAUCGUAAACCUCUUUUGUCAGGGAACAAAGUCGGGGACUUGUCCGCGGAUGAGGGUACCUGAAGCAAAAGCAUCGGCUAACUCCGUGCCAGCAGCCGCGGUAAUACGGAGGAUGCGAGCGUUAUCCGGAUUUAUUGGGUUUAAAGGGUGCGCAGGCGGCUUAUUAAGUCAGCGGUAAAAGCGUGGAGCUCAACCCCGGCGAGCCGUUGAAACUGAUGAGCUGGAGUGGGAGAGAAGUAUGCGGAAUGCGCGGUGUAGCGGUGAAAUGCAUAGAUAUCGCGCAGAACCCCGAUUGCGAAGGCAGCGUACCGGCGCCACACUGACGCUGAAGCACGAAAGCGUGGGUAUCGAACAGGAUUAGAUACCCCAGUAGUC
rnacentral:rRNA from 1 species